GACGAACGCUGGCGGCGUGCCUAAUACAUGCAAGUAGAACGCACAGUUUAUACCGUAGCUUGCUACACCAUAAACUGUGAGUUGCGAACGGGUGAGUAACGCGUAGGUAACCUGCCUGGUAGCGGGGGAUAACUAUUGGAAACGAUAGCUAAUACCGCAUAAUAUUAAUUAUUGCAUGAUAAUUGAUUGAAAGAUGCAAUUGCAUCACUACCAGAUGGACCUGCGUUGUAUUAGCUAGUAGGUGAGGUAACGGCUCACCUAGGCGACGAUACAUAGCCGACCUGAGAGGGUGAUCGGCCACACUGGGACUGAGACACGGCCCAGACUCCUACGGGAGGCAGCAGUAGGGAAUCUUCGGCAAUGGACGAAAGUCUGACCGAGCAACGCCGCGUGUGUGAAGAAGGUUUUCGGAUCGUAAAGCUCUGUUGUAAGAGAAGAACGGGUGUGAGAGUGGAAAGUUCACACUGUGACGGUAUCUUACCAGAAAGGGACGGCUAACUACGUG
rnacentral:rRNA from 1 species